rnacentral:rRNA from 1 species
GACGAACGCUGGCGGCGUGCUUAACACAUGCAAGUCGAACGGGUCUGCCCUGUUUUUUGCGGGGUGGGUCAGUGGCGAACGGGUGAGUAACACGUGAGUAACCUGCCCCUCACUUCUGGAUAACCGCUUGAAAGGGUGGCUAAUACGGGGUGUUCUGGCUGUGCCGCAUGGUGUGGCUGGGAAAGAUUCACUUUUGUGGUGUUUUGGUGGGGGAUGGGCUCGCGGCCUAUCAGCUUGUUGGGGGGGUGAUGGCCGGCCAAGGCUUUGACGGGUAGCCGGCCUGAGAGGGUGGGCGGUCGCACUGGGACUGAGAUACGGCCCAGACUCCUGCGGGAGGCAGCAGUGGGGGGUAUUGCACAAUGGGCGGAAGCCUGAUGCAGCGACGUCGCGUGAGGGAUGGAGGCCUUCGGGUUGUGAACCUCUUUCGCCGGUGAAGAAGGUCCUGCUCUUUGUGGUGGGGUUGACGGUAGCCGGGUUAUGAAGCGCCGGCUAACUACGUG